UCUCCGUAGGUGAACCUGCGGAGGGAUCAUUACCGAGUGAGGGCCCCGGCCCGACCUCCCACCCUUUGUUUCCACACCUCGUUGCCUCGGGGGCGACCCGGCAUCCGGGUCCCCCCGGCGGACCGACCCAACUCGAUUUUGGAAUGCGUCUGAGUGGAAAGAUUGAAUGAAGCAAAACUUUCAACAACGGAUCUCUUGGUUCUG
rnacentral:misc_RNA from 1 species